rnacentral:lncRNA from 1 species
UUAAGCUUCAAAGGGUUGUUUAACUAUUUCAUAUUACUUUAAUUGAAUCAAAAUAUAUUGCUCAGGUUAGAUUUUUUGUUAAUAAGAAGGAGUAAUAUGUCUAAUGUUUUAAUUUGAAUGCAAGAAAAUUACAAACAAGUAUCAAAUCGGUUAAAGCCUAAUGCUCAUGGAAUUAAAGCUGCUAUGGCAACCCUUUGAUCUGAUUGUUACUCACUCUGAGCAAUAUAGUAUAAUAUUUUGAAAUCAAAAUAACUAAGGAAAAUGAGUUUCAAUAAAAUGCUCACUUAUAUUUCGACAAACAACAUAAGUAAAUUAUUACUUUGAAACCGCAAGAAUAAUGGAUCAUAUAUCGUAACCAAGCAUCUGCUAUGCAUUAAGUGUUAAAAGCAAAUCAAAAUAUAUAGUAAGUAAAAUAAAAUGUGUUUUAAAAUUUUCGCUAAUGAAAAGCAUAGAGAGUCUUCAACAAAUGCUAAAAUAAAUAAUCAUAUUACAAGUAUUGAAAAGUAUCCAUUGGUAAAUAAAUGCCAAACAAUAUGUAUAGAGAAUGCAAGCAAAAUAUUAGGCAGUUAUAUUUAUUAUUGUUUAGUUUCUUCCCGUAUAUUAAAGUAUAUACUAUACCUGUAACCUUCUUGUUUAUUUACAUUUUUAGUGUUUAUUUGUAUAUUUGUUUAGUUAUAUUUUGGUUAACAUAACUUAGAUUAGUAAUUUAACAAUAAACUAAUGAACUGAAAAAAAAAAAAAAAAUACAAUUGUCAUUAUUAUGUAAACCAAAGUUAAAGGUUAACAUUUCGUUGUUGAAAAACAUGUAAUACUUAAUUUUGAUUUUCAAAUUUCAUUUUAAGCUAGUUUUUGUUUUAACAUAGCCAAUUAAGACUAGCAAGUGGUUUUACUGUAUUUUUAAAAAAUAUUUGCAGUUUAUUUUCUGACACAAUCAUAACUAUUUAUUAUUACUAUUUAAUGAGACUUUAGGAUUUUAAUUAUGAUACAAACAAAUUGUCAACUGUAUGACAAUUAUAAAUAAACAUUUAACUAUAUAAGACUAAUAAGCUAGCGUUUAAAAAACUUACCUAGAACAAAUGUAGAUGUAAAUGAUGAAAGGAUAAAAAUAUUAAUUCUUUAAAGUUUAGGAAAUAUAAGAAUAUUAACUUUUCUAAAUAAGUUUUUACCUGUUUUUUUUUUGUUGAUAAAAAUUGAAAAUUUCUUAUUAUUAAUAUUACUUUUUAUUGUGUUUAGUUUUCAUUAUUAUCUUGUUACGUAUGUUAAAACUACUGAAAUUUAUGUUGAUUUCAGAAUAAUACAAAUGAAUAAACAAGAGAAAAAUCAAUAUUUGAGAGAAUGGUACUAGAAAAUAUAAGAAUAUUCACUUUUCUAAAAAAGUUUUUACUUGUUUUUUUAUUAAUAAAAGUUUAUGUUUUUAUUAUUAAUUUUUAUUGUGUUCAAUUUUUAUUAUUAUCCUUUUGGAAUGUCAAAAAAGUAAUCAAGCCUUAAAUAAUAUAGUCAGCAGUAGUAUUGGUUUUAAAAACAACAAAAUUAAGAACUAUAGUAACUUUUAUUUUGUGUCUGAUCAUAAAGAUACUUCUGAAACUGAGAGUUCUGAUCUAGACUCUGAGGUUUCUAUGAAUGAUGAUAAUGAAGAUCUUAAAGAUGGAGUAAUUGUUAUGGAUUUUACAACACAGAAUAACUAGAAAUGCAAGUGAACUGUUAUUUUAUUAAACAAGUAUGGUCAUUAUGUUGAUUUAACAAAAUGAACAAGGAAAUUUAAAUUCUCCUACGAAUGUUCCAAGUGAUUUAAAAUGUGGAGGUGAAUAUGUUUAUCUUGGUAUUUCAAACAGCAUAUCAAGAACUUUAGCAGUCAACUAGUCUUAUAGAUUUGAGUCAAAUACAAUGUUUAAAGUUGCAAUGUAGAUGGCCUUUCUUUAUUAAAGUCAUCAAACACACUGACCUAUUCUAUGUAUGUUUGACAAAGAGACACCAUUUAUUGUAUAAUUAUUUGUUGGUGAUAAGAAACCAAAUAAUCAUGAUAAUUUUUAUAUGAUUUUUUGCAUGAGUAUGAGUUAUUAUUGGGAAAUGGUUUAAAGUAAUAUUCAUAUAACUUCAAUUAAAUCUUGAGAAAAAUUGUUGCGAAUGUGCCAAUAAAACGUCAGGAAGUGUAAGCGUAACCAUUUUCAAAAGAUUGGGUCUAUUGAAGAAUUUUAUGAACUUGAAACCAGAUUAAAAGACACGGGAAUACCAAUAAUUGCUUUGUCACCUCAAGAAAGCAUAUGAAAAAAUGUUAAUGAAAAUACAAAAAAUGUUAUGGUUGGAAUUAUGGAACAUUAUGUUAGGCCCAAGUUCAAUAUGAAAAGCGAAAUUCGUGGUGAUAUAUAGAAGGUAUCGUUAGAAGAUAAAAAGUUGUGUAAAGCAAUAAUUUUUGUACGUUAAUAACAGCUCAAUAUUAUUUUAUAUAUCCCUUCUUC